rnacentral:rRNA from 1 species
UACGUAGGUGACAAGCGUUGUCCGGAUUUACUGGGCGUAAAGAGCGCGCAGGCGGUCGAUCAAGUCGAGUGUGAAAGCCCCCGGCUCCAACUGGGGAGGGUCAUUCGAUACUGAUCGACUCGAAGGCAGGAGAGGGUAGUGGAAUUCCCGGUGUAGUGGUGAAAUGACGUAGAUAUCGGGAGGAACACCAGUGGCGAAGGCGACUACCUGGCCUGUUCUUGACGCUGAGGCGCGAAAGCUAGGGGAGCAAACAGGG